rnacentral:rRNA from 1 species
AAGACGGCAUACGAGAUUUCGCGGAGUGACUGGAGUUCAGACGUGUGCUCUUCCGAUCUGUUUCCCAGUCACGAUAAACAGGUCGUAACAAUAACGGUCCUAAGGUAGCGAAAUUCCUUGUCGGGUAAGUUCCGACCUGCACGAAUGGCGUAACGAUGGCCACACUGUCUCCACCCGAGACUCAGUGAAAUUGAAAUAGCUGUGAAGAUGCAGUUUACCUGCGGCUAGACGGAAAGACCCCGUGCACCUUUACUAUAGCUUUACACGGGACUUUGGACAUAUCUGUGUAGGAUAGGUGGGAGACUAAGAAGUUUGUACGCUAGUACAGAUGGAGUCGACCUUGAAAUACCACCCUGAUAGGUUUGAGGUUCUAACCAGUUGCCCUGAUCGGGUGAUGGGACAGUGUAUGGUGGGUAGUUUGACUGGGGCGGUCUCCUCCUAAAGAGUAACGGAGGAGUGCGAAGGUACCCUCAGCGCGGUCGGACAUCGCGCACUGAGUGCAAAGGCAUAAGGGUGCUUAACUGCGAGAGCGACGGUUCGAGCAGAUACGAAAGUAGGUCUUAGUGAUCCGGUGGUUCUUAAUGGAAGGGCCAUCGCUCAACGGAUAAAAGGUACGCCGGGGAUAACAGGCUGAUACCGCCCAAGAGUUCAUAUCGACGGCGGUGUUUGGCACCUCGAUGUCGGCUCAUCACAUCCUGGGGCUGAAGCAGGUCCCAAGGGUAUGGCUGUUCGCCAUUUAAAGUGGUACGCGAGCUGGGUUUAGAACGUCGUGAGACAGUUCGGUCCCUAUCUACCGUAGGCGUAAGAGAUUUGAGAGGAGCUGCUCCUAGUACGAGAGGACCGGAGUGGACGAACCUCUGGUGUACCGGUUGUGAUGCCAAUUGCAUUGCCGGGUAGCUAUGUUCGGAAGGGAUAACCGCUGAAAGCAUCUAAGCGGGAAGCCUCCCUCAAGAUGAGAUGUCUCCUGAGGAACGUUGAAGACGACGUAUCGUGACUGGGAAAC